rnacentral:tRNA from 1 species
GCGCCUGUAGCUCAAUAGGAUAGAGCAUCUGCCUUCUAAGCAGAGGGCUGCCCGUUCGAUUCGGGCCAGGCGCG